rnacentral:rRNA from 1 species
AUUGAACGCUGGCGGCAUGCCUUACACAUGCAAGUCGAACGGCAGCACGGACUUCGGUCUGGUGGCGAGUGGCGAACGGGUGAGUAAUGUAUCGGAACGUACCUUUCAGUGGGGGAUAACGUAGCGAAAGUUACGCUAAUACCGCAUAUUCUGUGAGCAGGAAAGCAGGGGGAUCGCAAGACCUUGCGCUGAUUGAGCGGCCGAUAUCAGAUUAGCUAGUUGGUGGGGUAAGGCCUACCAAGGCGACGAUCUGUAGCGGGUCUGAGAGGAUGAUCCGCCACACUGGAACUGAGACACGGUCCAGACUCCUACGGGAGGCAGCAGUGGGGAAUUUUGGAC